CCGCUGGAGCCCCAGGCAGCUGCCUGGACUGGCCGGAGAGCACCCUACCCCGCUACUGGGAAGACCUGCCGGAGCUUCCCCACGCCACCUACGACGAGGAGCCAGUAGGAGCUUCCCCGCUACCGCGCUGUUACCCCGAGGAACCCCCGGAGCACGAUUGGCCGGACUUCCCCGGGGAACUACCCGAUCUACCCCCAAGCCCGGGUUGUGAGGAGCCCAUGCAGUGGGACUUCCCGGGACCAGAUGCCGUGGACCAGUUACAGUAAAACUCAAAAGACUCUCCACAUGACUGGCUAGGAACAAGGCCAGAGGGACCUCUAUCAUCCGGAUACAAGUUAUGCCAUUAUGAAAUAAUGAAACAAGUGUACUGCCUUUUGAAACCGUUGGUUUAUACAACGUCUGGUAGCUGGAGUGGAGAAAAAAGUCUGCAAGCACAGAAGAGUUUCAGCAUGGACGUCAUUAUGUACUUUCUAGUACUUCACCACAUAAAGGUCCAGACUGUGCCUCAAAGCCACAGCCUGCGCUGGAGGGUAGGAUGGUAUUGAGUCAGCCAGAUUUCCUGCUGGGGUGCGAAUACAACAGUGGCAGAUCUGCCACUCCAGGAGACGGUGCAGCAUGCACUCUGCUCUACCCCUGCAACUUUAUAAACUGAUGUGAAGAAAGGGUGGGGCCAAGGCUUCAUUCUCAUCCUGCCCCUCCUGGGGAGGUUAUGAUACUAGCACCAAGUAUGUAUUUUGCAGCUACACUAUAGCUGGCUCCUAUACAGGAACUGAAUGUGGGGGAAGACAGUUAUGCAGGCUCAGCAAAGAGGCCGAAGACCAAAUGGACCACGCAGACUGAACUACCCUCUUGCCUUAGAGAUUUCCCUUCCAGGUGAGGGUAGAAAAACACUGGCAUUUGUGCAGCAGUGUUGGAAGCUAGCAUUACUGUUGUGUCUGUCCUGUGGUUGAGUAGUGGACUUCAGUUUUUGUGGCUGCCCAUCUGAAUCAAUUCACUCAGCAAUAAAUGCAUGCAAAUUUUUAUUAAAAAAAUUAAAAACUGGAAAUGUGUAAUAAGUGUUGUAGCACUGAUCAAACAACCAGGAAAUUCUGGGCCAGAUCCUCAGCUGGUAUAAAUUAGCGUAGUUCCACUGUCAUCAAGGUUCUCAAGAUUCGGUUUAAGCUUCACUAUUGGGUUUUGAUUUUUUUUCCUGCUGAACUG